AAGAUUUUAGUAUAAGAUUACAUAUAUAAUAUCAAAUUACCUUAACAGAAAAUAUAUUUCCAUGAUGACGUGUACGAAGUAUUAACUUUUUUUCAUAUCGAAAUGGAUCCCAUAAUAUAAUAUUCAUAUCAUCAGAUGCAGAAGCAAGAAUUCUAAAAAUUGCCCACUUUCAUUCCAUUCUAAACAAUUAACACAUCCUGUAUGACCAACUAAUUCUUUUUCAAGUCCUAACCGGGAUAUCAAAUUUUCUGUCACAUGUAACUUCUGAGAAACUGCAUAUGCCACUGAAUCCUAAAUAAAAUAAUUUAAAUAGAAUUAAA
rnacentral:misc_RNA from 1 species